GCCCCAAGAUCUAGCCCACAUAGAAUGUAACCCUAAAAAUAUUAAAUUGGCAGCAAAAAACUAAAUUGAAAAACCAAACCAUUUUUCCCCCUUAGUAUAGGAGAUAGAAAGGGGACC
rnacentral:rRNA from 1 species